rnacentral:lncRNA from 7 species
UUGGUUGCUGUGGGAUUGGGUCCUAGUUGGUGAGGUCCCUGCCCUGCCUAGGACUGUUGUGCUCAGCUCCUGGUUCUCUAUCCCUUAAGGAGAAACUGGCUUGUGCUUCUUCCUGAUGGAUCUGGGGUUUGUCUUCAUACAGCUUCCAGUGCUGGUGUGAAAUUGUGCCGCUUUGUGCACUCACAGCUGAGCAGAGGCAGAGCCUGCGGAAACGAGCAGACGUCAGUCAGGUAAGGGUGUUCUGUGGUGUGUUUUGUGGUGGGUGGUGCUGAGGUGGUGCCCUGUUAAGUUGUGCGCUUUAUGCAUCCCUCCUCGGGGGUGUUUCUCUGGGGUGUUUUGAGGCAUUCGCUCUGAGCAUCACCAUGGGGACAAGCAGGGGGAAGGAACACAAUUUGUAUUUCUUUGAUCGUUGUGUGAUUGUACUCUCACAGCGUGACAGUGGAGGUGUAUGAUGGACUGCGUACCUCUCUCCUGUGUGUUCUGUACGACAACAAAAUGCACACGCACUCACGUACAGACACACACCCUCCAGGCUCCAGUGGGUGUAGGAGAGAGUGUGUGUGUGUGUGUGUGUGUGAAUGCUAUUUAAAUAAAAAAGAAAGGAAGUGAAUCAGGGUCGUUUCCAUUUUAAUUGUAAAACAGAUAAGCACUAAACACUUUGAAAAAGUAAAUGACUUGAGAAUAAUUACUAUCUAUUACUCUGCGUCCCAGGGGGGCAGUUGGAGGAGCCCAGAUGGCUACAAAAAUGGGAUUUAGCAGAAAAUUGAAGACAUUAUUCACCGUAACACAUUAUCAAUUACCUUCAUAUCAAUUACAAUAACCUUACAUUAGAAGAAGGGCCAGGAGACUAUCUUCAGCCCCCAGCCUGAAUAGUAAUUGCACUACCCCUAUGGAUGUUGUGUGUGUGUGUGUCAGGGGGUGGGGGGCACCGCCGGGUUGUGCAGGGGCUCUGGCAGCUCCCACUGCUCAUGGCGGAGAUUAUAAUAAUGGCUCGGGUCCUUUUCCCUCCUCUUCUUAUAGUCACCUCGUGGAAGGUUUUUCUCUGUCCUGUUUGUGUGCUCUAAUGGCUCGAAGGGCAGCUGAUGUGGCUCCUUCCAAGAAAUUCUGCUUGGCUUGCCAUUUGGGAAGUUUGGAUUAUCUGUGCAGAGACGGCUGUUUCGCACCAGUGUCUUCUACUUUCCUGUUCCCUCCCUCAGCCACUUCAGCCAAGCUGCUCGUCUUAUUAAUGGGGGCUGGUAUGCAGUCUGAGGUCCUUUUCUAUAGGACCAGGGUUUCUUUGGUGCAGCAAUCUGGCUCCUUCACACCCUGUGCAGGAGGUGGGAGCUGCUCCCUCUGCCAGUCCCAGAUGGGGCACCAGCUCGUGUUUACUGUAAGCACUCACAGAACGGUCACAAAGGCCUUGGGUGGGAUACGGAGGUGAACCAACCAAAAACAAUUAGAAAAAGAAUCUCUUGUCCUAUUCUCCAGAGAUGGAGGAAGGCAUCCUAGGGAGGAGCUGUACCGAGGCUGCUUCAGCAGGCUGGUAGCAUGAAGGUAGCGCUAAGGACAUCCUGUUGCCUGUGGCUGUCCCUUGUUGCCAGCUGGGGCGGCCGUCGGUGCUGCUGGUAGGUCAGUGCUUCUGACUGGCUGGCUAACGCUUCUGGCUGGCCAUGGUGUCAUUCCGAAGUCCCACCUCCUGCAUUUGUGCUUGAUCCUGCUCAGCCAACUGUUUACACAGGCAACAUCCAGAUCUAGCUGUUGUGGUUUUAUUUUCAGCCGUGAUCCAAACAGGAUUCACUGCCACGGCCUCCUGGUCUGUGUGCAAAUGUACGUGCGGGAGAUGAGCAUUUGGACACAACAGGGCAAUUAUGAGUUAAACUCUUGGUGACACUCCCUCCAGCCUCCCCCCUCUCCCAAAUAUGCAGUGGAGUGUCCAGUGGGUUAGUGCAUGGAGAGGACUAAUUGCUAUUAAAAGGCUUUAAUCUGGGAGAUUAGUGCUGGCUCCAGGCGCUGUUUGCACACGAAGGAGACGUUUCCGAUGAGAUGAACUAGAAUUCGUCCCUGCUGUUUUGUUGAUAGAAAAUCAUGUUCCCCUUGGUUUUUUCUCUUUAUCUCAGUCUCUCUUGCUUUCUCUCUCUCUGAUCAUUUGCUUUUGCGUCUUCCUCGAAGUUGAGCUAAGAGCUUUAUUGUUUUCAGAGUAACAGUCCUCUUUGACCUUUGGGAUUGGUUGUUUUUGGAAAUGCAUACAGGCAUGCGUGUACAUACAUGUGCAGCCAGAAUUUUGUGCUCCAAAGAGUGCUUUAGGAAAUGCAUCCCGGUCGAGAGAAGUAAUGAUAAGUACGUUUUCUCCCUGCUUGCUGUUGAGUCUCUCGUGGAUGCGUGAGGUGCCUGCAGAACCCUUCCUGUAACGCAGGCCAGGCCAGUCUCCUCCUGGGCAGAGGCCUGAUCCAGGAGACAUAAGAAAGAGAUGUUGCAGACUUAACAUCUUAAAGCUCCCUGCAGAGGUAAUUAGUGGGAGGUAAUUAAAUGAUUACAUAUGGGAAGGUGUAGAGCAUCACUGGACCUCCAGCAUGACCCAGGAAAUGUCACCAUUGACUUUGAUGAACAUUGGAUCAAGCUCAAUGGAAAUUAAUUUGAUAACACACCAGAUGUGUCCAGAGAGCCUGUCCAUGAAGGAGACACGUUUGACCUGGGAGCACAGAAGUCUUUGUGCUACUCUUAGCAGAGGAUCCAAAACCAGAGAUGCUUACUUUGAGCUCACUGUUGUCAGAAAUCCAAGCUUGUCUAUCAGGUCUGACUAUCUAGGCAGAUAAUUGGUGCUGCUCCUACUGUCCAGCUAGAGUUUUCACAGCAUCCUAAGGACGUUAAGUGCCAAUUCCCUUG